rnacentral:rRNA from 1 species
AGUGAACGCUGGCGGUAGGCCUAACACAUGCAAGUCGAACGGCAGCACAGUAAGAGCUUGCUCUUACGGGUGGCGAGUGGCGGACGGGUGAGGAAUACAUCGGAAUCUACUUUUUCGUGGGGGAUAACGUAGGGAAACUUACGCUAAUACCGCAUACGACCUACGGGUGAAAGCAGGGGAUCUUCGGACCUUGCGCGAUUGAAUGAGCCGAUGUCGGAUUAGCUAGUCGGCGGGGUAAAGGCCCACCAAGGCGACGAUCCGUAGCUGGUCUGAGAGGAUGAUCAGCCACACUGGAACUGAGACACGGUCCGGACUCCUACGGGAGGCAGCAGUGGGGAAUAUUGGACAAUGGGCGCAAGCCUGAUCCAGCCAUACCGCGUGGGUGAAGAAGGCCUUCGGGUUGUAAAGCCCCUUUGUUGGGAAAGAAAAGCAGCAGGUUAAUACCCCGCUGUUCUGACGGUACCCAAAGAAUAAGCACCGGCUAACUUCGUG